rnacentral:rRNA from 1 species
UAAGGAAUAUUGGACAAUGGACGGAAGUCUGAUCCAGCCAUGCCGCGUGCAGGAUGAAGGCGCUCAGCGUUGUAAACUGCUUUUGGAUGGGAAUAAUAACCUCGAUUCAUCGGGGCUUGAAGGUACCAUCAGAAUAAGCACCGGCUAACUCCGUGCCAGCAGCCGCGGUAAUACGGAGGGUGCAAGCGUUAUCCGGAAUCACUGGGUUUAAAGGGUGCGUAGGCGGCGCGAUAAGUCAGUUGUGAAAUUC